AAAACGGCCCUUUUCAGGGCCACCAAAAAAAAUGUAUUUGCCUUAAU
rfam:Asian citrus Psyllid, Diaphorina citri - Florida Strain, whole genome shotgun sequence.